rfam:Camelus ferus unplaced genomic scaffold scaffold955, whole genome shotgun sequence.
GAAGGGGACAGCUCAGGGGUAGAGCACGUGCUUAGCAUGCACGAGGUCCUGGGUUCAAUCCCCAGCGCCUCCA